rnacentral:rRNA from 1 species
GAUGAACGCUGGCGGCGUGCUUAACACAUGCAAGUCGAACGAUGAAGCCGGAGCUUGCUCUGGUGAAUUAGUGGCGAACGGGUGAGUAACACGUGGGUAACCUGCCCAUAAGACUGGGAUAACUCCGGGAAACCGGGGCUAAUUCCGGAUAACAUUUUGAACCGCAUGGUUCGAAAUUGAAAGGCGGCUUCGGCUGUCACUUAUGGAUGGACCCGCGUCGCAUUAGCUAGUUGGUGAGGUGGCGGCUCACCAAGGCAACGAUGCGUAGCCGACCUGUGAGGGUGAUCGGCCACACUGGGACUGAGACACGGCCCAGACUCCUACGGGAGGCAGCAGUAGGGAAUCUUCCGCAAUGGACGAAAGUCUGACGGAGCAACGCCGCGUGAGUGAUGAAGGCUUUCGGGUCGUAAAACUCUGUUGUUAGGGAAGAACAAGUGCUAGUUGAAUAAGCUGGCACCUUGACGGUACCUAACCAGAAAGCCACGGCUAACUACGUGCCAGCCGCCGCAGUAA